AGGGUUUGAUUAUGGCUCAGGAUGAACGCUGGCGGCGUGCCUAACACAUGCAAGUCGAGCGAUUCUCUUCGGAGAAGAGCGGCGGACGGGUGAGUAACGCGUGGGUAACCUGCCCUGUACACACGGAUAACAUACCGAAAGGUAUGCUAAUACGGGAUAACAUAAGAAAUUCGCAUGUUUUUCUUAUCAAAGCUCCGGCGGUACAGGAUGGACCCGCGUCUGAUUAGCUAGUUGGUGAGGUAACGGCUCACCAAGGCGACGAUCAGUAGCCGACCUGAGAGGGUGAUCGGCCACAUUGGAACUGAGACACGGUCCAA
rnacentral:rRNA from 1 species